rnacentral:lncRNA from 1 species
AUAUCAAACUCAAUCACUUAUCUUUAUGUAUCUUGAUUUGAAAGUGAUGAUUCAAUUGAUGAUAUAUUAGAAAUUUUUUUCUAAUUAUCAUCCUACUUUGGCCAAAGACUUCCGAAUCAUCAACCUAUGAGAUCAUAUAGGAUGUUCGCUCUCCUUAUUAGGAGUGACUGAUCCCUUAUUGAUCACUCACAAUCUUCAUGCAUACUUCACUAUAUCC